GUGGGGAAUAUUCCGCAAUGGACGAAAGUCUGACGGAGCAACGCCGCGUGAGUGAUGAAGGUUUUCGGACUGUAAAGCUCUGUUGUUUAGGACGAAAGUGCCUGUUGCGAACAGUUACAGGUAUUGACGGUACUAAACGAGGAAGCCACGGCUAACUACGUGCCAGCAGCCGCGGUAAUACGUAGGUGGCAAGCGUUGUCCGGAAUUAUUGGGCGUAAAGAGCAUGUAGGCGGAGAUUUAAGUCUGUUGUGAAAAUGCGGGGCUCAACCCCGUAUUGCGAUGGAAACUGAAUUUCUUGAGUGCAGGAGAGGAAAGGGGAAUUCCCAGUGUAGCGGUGAAAUGCGUAGAUAUUGGGAGGAACACCAGUGGCGAAGGCGCCUUUCUGGACGAAAACUGACGCUGAGGCGCGAAAGCCAGGGGAGCGAACGGGAUUAGAUACCCGAGUAGUCC
rnacentral:rRNA from 1 species